UGGGAGGGUAGAUGCGCCGACGACGGAAGACGGGUUUUUGUAAAAAAAAAAAAAAAAAAAAACGGGGGAAAAAAAACCCGUACGAAUCUAUCGGUCGGACAGACGGUUUGCGCGAUCGCGCGUACCGAGAGUACGUUAAAACAUUGUUUUUAUUAAAUCGAUAGGAUCAACGUCGGCGGUAUCGCGUCAUUUAUCGCGCGCGUUUCGCGUGUUUAUUGUGUACAGCGUGCGGGUAGAGCGCGUCAUGCGUUACGAUGUUGCGGCUAUCAGAAAUUGUGAUAACCACGCGUACAGGGUGUCCCGGUGUGCGGAUUGAGUGAAACACACCAAUGAAACGUGAUAAAUCGUACCGCGCGCACAGGCGAAUAUUAUUUUUUUCAAAAUUAAACGCGUUCGGGAUCGUGAAGUUUUUCGUUUACAACAGCCGUCCGGGCCCGAAACAGCGGCCGUUUUCGAUUCGACCCGGCCCGGUCGUCUUUUCGACGUUUCCCGGGCGAACGUCCGGGAGUUUAUCGGCGCGCCUAUCGCCCGGCGACCUACACACACACACACACACAUUCUAUGUUCGACGACCGUCCGGUAAAAUCGGUAAAAUUAAGCGACCGAGUAAAACAAACGGAUUUUUCGCCAACAGUUUUCCGAUAAAGCCGCCAAUUUUUUUAGAGUCCCGUAACACAUUCCGAGUUACGGAAUUUCAGUUUCGACCGUGCGAAACGGUUUUUCAAUGUUUUCUCGUGGCGCGCGACCGCCGCUGCGGCUCUGCCUGGCCGUGUACGAAUAUCGUUAUCGCCACAAUGGCAUUACCGAUCGCCGACGUACGCAGACGUAUUCUAU